rnacentral:rRNA from 1 species
UACGAAGGGGGCUAGCGUUGUCCGGAAUCACUGGCGUAAAGCGUGCGUAGGCGGUUCGUUAAGUCUGCUGUGAAAGCCCUGGGCUCAACCUGGGAACUGCAGUGGAUACUGGCGGACUAGAGUGUGAUAGAGGAUGGUGGAAUUCCCGGUGUAGCGGUGAAAUGCGUAGAGAUCGGGAGGAACACCAGUGGCGAAGGCGGCCAUCUGGAUCAACACUGACGCUGAGGCACGAAAGCGUGGGGAGCAAACAGG